GACGAACGCUGGCGGCGUGCUUAACACAUGCAAGUCGAACGGAAAGGCCCUGCUUGCAGGGGACUCGAUUGGCGAACGGUUGGGUAACACGUUUAGGAUCUGCCUUUCACUUCGGGAUAAGCCUUGGAAACUGGGUCUAAUACCGGAUAUAACCUUCCAUGUCUUUUGUUGGGUGGAAAGUUUAAUCGGUGGUUGAUAAGGUCGCAGCCUAUCAGCUUGGUGGUGGGGUAAUGGCCUACCAAGGCGUCGACGCGUUGCCGGCCUGAGAGGGGAGACGGACACAUCAGACUUGAGAUAAGGCACAGACCCGACCGGGACGCAGGAGUGGAGAAUAGUGCAUAAUGCGCGGAAGCAUGAUGUAGCGAAGCAGUGUGGGGGAAGACAGCAAUCGGGUUGUAAUCUAAUUUCCAUUGAGACGAAGCUUCGGUGACAGUACCUGUAUAAGAAGCACCGGCUAACUACGUG
rnacentral:rRNA from 1 species